UGGCGGACGGGUGAGUAACGCGUGGGUAACCUGCCUCAUACAGGGGGAUAACAGUUAGAAAUGACUGCUAAUACCGCAUAAGACCACAGCACCGCAUGGUGCAGGGGUAAAAACUCCGGUGGUAUGAGAUGGACCCGCGUCUGAUUAGGUAGUUGGUGGGGUAACGGCCUGCCAAGCCGACGAUCAGUAGCCGACCUGAGAGGGUGACCGGCCACAUUGGGACUGAGACACGGCCCAA
rnacentral:rRNA from 1 species